GACGAACCGUGCAAACGUUGUUCGGAUUCACUGGGCUUAAAGGGCGCGUAGGCGGAUGGCCAAGUCAGGGGUGAAAUCCUCCGGCCCAACCGGAGAACUGCUUCUGAUACUGGCGGUCUCGAGGGAGGUAGGGGCAGCUGGAACUUCCGGUGGAGCGGUGAAAUGCGUAGAUAUCGUAAGGAAGACCAGUGGCGAAGGCGGGUCUCUGGACAGUUCCUGACGCUGAGGCACGAAGGUCAGGGGAGCAAACGGG
rnacentral:rRNA from 1 species